GACGAACCAUGCAAACGUUGUUCGGAUUCACUGGGCUUAAAGGGCGCGUAGGCGGUGCGCCAAGUCCGGGGUGAAAUCUUUCGGCUUAACCGGAAAAUUGCCUUGGAUACUGGCGUGCUCGAAGGGGGUAGGGGUUGCGGGAACUUCCAGUGGAGCGGUGAAAUGCGUUGAUAUUGGAAGGAACGCCGGUGGCGAAAGCGCGCAACUGGACCUCUCUUGACGCUGAGGCGCGAAAGCUAGGGUAGCGAACGGGAUUAGAAACCCGUGUAGU
rnacentral:rRNA from 1 species